GCAUGUUGUAGGUGUCGGAUUUCGCCUUCAUUGCCGCUCUUCGCAAAGCCAUGCAAGGGGGGAAAAAUACACUUAAGAUUACAUCCCGUUCCCGCAGCCGGGGAGCCCCCAGAGGAUGUCGGUUCAAUUGAGAAUCGGAGUGAAAGCUGCAGAAUUAUUCCCUCGGAACAGCGUAAGAUGGUGCAGUUUUCCUGGCCACAGACACCGCUAACCUAACAGUAAAUUUCAGCUUUGCUUCCAAGAUGACGGGAGGAGAGUAAGACCUUUACAUGGUGACAAUGAAACUUCUGAGCAUUGAGAGGUGAGCAAAAGAGACCCGGGCCAUUUCGAGAUGGAGGCUGAAUGAGCAAGUGUCCGAUGCACCAAGCUUUCUCCUUCCUCGCUGUCUGCUUGUGGCCAGUGACAGCCCCACAUGGCGAUCACUCAGUGGGACCUUGAGUGAGGACAACGAAGAUCAGAGUGCCCAGCUGACCUGCCCUGGACAUGCGGCAUGAACUAGAAGUAAAUAUUUGUUUUAAAUCUCUAAAA